UAAUAGCUCAGUUGGUAGAGCAUGAGACUCUUAAUUUCAGGGUCAUGGGGUUGAGCCCUAUGUUGGGCAAAA
rnacentral:tRNA from 1 species